AUUAGAAUAAAGUAUGUUCUGAUGAUUGGGUUUUCAUGGGCACGAGUGAAAUGUGCCUCCCCCAAAUCUUGUUAGAACAUCGGCACAUUACCUAUCUGACA